CCAACUAUCCCUAUUAAUCAUUACGUCAAUCCUAGAAACCAACAAAAUAGGAUCGAUCGUCCUAUUUCAUUAUUCCAUGCUAAUGUAUUCAAGCGUUAGCCUGCUUUAAACACUCUAAUUUUUUCAAAGUAACAGUCCAGAUUCCCCGCAACACCAAAUUAAUGGCAUUACGGUUCAUCAGGAAGGAGGAAUCAGUGAGACCAGUACAUACCUGUGGCACGACCAGCCUACUGACCCCGAAAUUCAACUAC
rnacentral:rRNA from 1 species